rnacentral:rRNA from 1 species
UGGCGAACGGGUGAGUAACGCGUGAGUAACCUGCCCUGGAGUGGGGGACAACAGUUGGAAACGACUGCUAAUACCGCAUAAGCCCACGGCCCGGCAUCGGGCUGCGGGAAAAGGAUUUAUUCGCUUCAGGAUGGACUCGCGUCCAAUUAGCUGGUUGGUGAGGUAACGGCCCACCAAGGCGACGAUCGGUAGCCGGACUGAGAGGUUGAACGGCCACAUUGGGACUGAGACACGGCCCAG